rnacentral:lncRNA from 1 species
UUAAGCAUUGCUCCUGAAAGAUCCAAGAGCCUUGAUGGCUGCGGCUCUGAGAAUGUAUUGGUGGUAGAAUGCAGCUGCGGCAGCUCCAAUGAAAGGUCCGACCCAGAAGAUCCACUGUAUAACAACACCACAUGAAAUAUAUAUACAUUAUGAGCAACAAUUUAUAACAUCAAAUGGAAAAUUGUAUAUUUAUAUAGGAUGGGAAAUUAUUAUUUACUUGGUCAUCCCAGGCCUUCUCUUUGUUGUAAAUGACAGCAGCUCCAAAACUCCUAGCAGGGUUGAUACCAGUGCCAGUGACUGGAAUUGUGGCAAGGUGAACCAUGAACACAGCGAAUCCAAUGGGGAGUGG